rnacentral:sRNA from 1 species
UUCAUGUGCUAGUCAUGGUCCAAUGAGUUUGGGAGAAUUGGAGUUGGAGCCAAAUUGUAACCUGGUUCUUCCCUCAACACUUCUGACAGCACAAGAAAAUGAUGUUAAUUUACCAGUAGCCGCUGAAGAUUUUCCGCAGUACCAACAAAAGCAAAAUCAGGAUGUUAAGCAAGUUGAACACAAACCAUCACAAAGUUACCUACAUGUUAGAGAUAAAUCUGAUAUUGCACCUUCACAGCAACAAGGUUAAUCUUUUUUAGCAUCCCUUUACAUAAAGUACCAUAGAAAGUGCUGUGGCCCUAGAGAGAUGGAUAAAACAAAGCAUCUGCUCUCCAGGGAUAAAAAGAAGAAAGGCCAUUUUGUGAAGAGAUGAAGACUGAGCAGUUGUGGCCGCCUUGCCGACCUUGAGCAGCAGUUGGCUUCUCCACAUAGUACCCGGGAGUAGGAGUCUCAGAAUCGAAUCUCUUCUGCCUCCCCACUUCUGUGAGAUUUUUUUGAUCUUCAGCUACAUUUUCGGCUUUGUG